rnacentral:rRNA from 1 species
GCAGCAGUGGGGAAUAUUGGACAAUGGGGGCAACCGUGAUCCAGCCAUGCCGCGUGAGUGAAGAAGGCCUUCGGGUUGUAAAGCUCUUUCAGAUGCGAAGAUGAUGACGGUAACAUCAGAAGAAGCCCCGGCUAAUUUCGUGCCAGCAGCCGCGGUAAUACGAAAGGGGCUAGCGUUGUUCGGAUUUACUGGGCGUAAAGGGCACGCAGGCGGUCUUGCCAGUCAGGGGUGAAAGCCCGGGGCUCAACCCCGGAACUGCCUCUGAUACUGCAAGWCUAGAGACUAGGAGAGGGUGGUGGAAUUCCCAGUGUAGAGGUGAAAUUCGUAGAUAUUGGGAGGAACACCAGAGGCGAAGGCGGCCACCUGGACUAGAUCUGACGCUCAGGUGCGAAAGCGUGGGGAGCAAACAGGAUUAGAUACCCUGGUAGUCCACGCCGUAAACGAUGAGUGCUAGUUGUCGGGAUUUCGAUUUCGGUGACGCAGCUAACGCA